GAUGAACGCUGGCGGCGUGCCUAAUACAUGCAAGUCGAGCGAAUGGAUUAAGAGCUUGCUCUUAUGAAGUUAGCGGCGGACGGGUGAGUAACACGUGGGUAACCUGCCCAUAAGACUGGGAUAACUCCGGGAAACCGGGGCUAAUACCGGAUAGCAUUUUGAACCGCAUGGUUCGAAAUUGAAAGGCGGCUUCGGCUGUCACUUAGGGAUGGACCCACGUCGCAUUAGCUAGUUGGUGAGGUAACGGCUCACCAAGGCAACGAUGCGUAGCCGACCUGAGAGGGUGAUCGGCCACACUGGGACUGAGACACGGCCCAGACUCCUACGGGAGGCAGCAGUAGGGAAUCUUCCGCAAUGGACGAAAGUCUGGCGGAGCAACGCCGCGUGAGUGAUGAAGGCUUUCGGGUCGUAAAACUCUGUUGUUAGGGAAGAACAAGUGCUAGUUGAAUAAGCUGGCACCUUGACGGUACCUAACCAGAAAGCCACGGCUAACUACGUGCCAGCCGCCGCCGUAA
rnacentral:rRNA from 1 species